GGAUGCGAUCAUACCAGCACUAAAGCACCGGAUCCCAUCAGAACUCCGAAGUUAAGCGUGCUUGGGCGAGAGUAGUACUAGGAUGGGUGACCUCCUGGGAAGUCCUCGUGUUUCAUUCA
rnacentral:rRNA from 16 species